UCCUCCUCUCACUCUUUGGCCACUGCUGGUGAGGCCAUUUGCUGUCCCAUUGCCCCAGGAAGGGCUGGGAAAGGAGCAGCAGCCUCAGCUCUUGCUGCCAUCGCUGGGAAGUUUGCAGGACACCCGGGAUCCCACAGGAUGGCACACAAAAAGCAGAUGUAAAAGUAUGUAAUCUUGUUUGCCAUUAAUACAUUUUAUGCACAUAAGUACUAUUUGAUUACUUACAGUGGACUAAAACUAGAUUCUCUUGGGAUUUUAGGAGAUUGGGGGAUAGGUUCUUACUGAGUGUGAAGUAAGAAAACAUGGAAUCUAGGGUGAUUUUUGUUCCUAUUAGAGUUUAAGGGUAUUUUGUACCAGUGACUUAACUGGAUCAGGAUGCAUCUUGGGAUUGUGGAGGCUGUUCUGUGGGCUGUUUAUCUGGUGCUGACUGUGGCAGUGUGAUCUCACACAACUGAGUUCUGAUGGAAUAAUAAAUCUAUAUCUUAGAUCUUGCAGAUUGAGGUAAUUUAUUAAGAAGUGUGGUUAUGGGCUUUUUGAUAACAAUAUCUCAAUUUUAAUAAUAGAAAACAAAAAAAUGUGGUUUAUGUAGUAGUUGUUGUUCUUUCACUGGAAUUUGGGGUGUCUGAAGCUGCCCAGUGUUCGUGUAGGUUUCCAGAAACCUGGGGCUGCAGUUCAAACAAAAUUGGGUAUCUACUUUAAUUAGUAGUUUUUAAAGUCUAACCUCACAGCCAAACUGUUUCUUAAAUAGAUUUGCGAAAGAGCAUUUUCUUAAACUAUUUUUUGUGGAGACAGAAUAAACCAGGUGGUGGCCUGUGGGUUGGGCUGUCCUUCUGUCGCCCCAUCCCACAAAGCCACACCAAGGGAGCUCUUUGUCCCCAGCAGUGCCUGAACAAAGGUGAGUUCUUGUCUUGCCAGGGGCUGUGGUGGCUCCCCUCCUCCCGUGCCCCAGACUUGCAUUGUGCAGCCUUGUCAUCUCCUUUUUCUGUGGCUGGCGUGGGCAAGGGAACCAAAAUCAGAGUGGAUUAUUUCCACUCCUUGUAUCUGUUGCUGCAUCCCUGGCUGCCUUCAGAGAGAUGUAUAAAUAAUUGCUGCCAAGUUCUUUUCAUUCUUGAUGUUUUGUCCACCUUGUCUGCUGAACAGUGAUUUUCUGUGCAGACAAAGCAGCACACCAAGUAUGAAAAUACAGAUGACUAUAAAGUUACAAUUUUAUAUUGCAUCUUCUCAGUAUUGAACACUUCCUCUCUAGUGAUUUCAGAGUCCCAUUAAAGUUAAUGAGAGUGGAGACCUCUGAGCAUCUUUGUGAGUUCAGGCCAUUUCAAUGCACAACAGAAAGGAAAUGCAAAUAUUAAAAUCCUCUCAGCAACCUCAGUAGUCUUUGGUAAAGAACUCCAUUUGUCCUGGGAUAAAUCUGUGUCUAUGCCACCCAGGUCAGCCAGGCUGAUGAGUCUGUAUAUGAAAAGUAGAAAUUAGGCCUGCUCUGAGCUCACAUGGAGCAUUUUACAAGGCAUCAGACAUAAUUUGUUCUUUAUGUGAUCAAGUAAAAUGAAUAUGUAACUCUUAUGUUUUGUAUUUGUCAACACUAUAAAUAUUGCAAUGGUAGUACCAAGCAGUACAUUACAGAAAACCUUGGGUUUAAAAAGGAAACUCCUUACUUUUUGCCAUGGUUCUGUGAUUGUUUUUUUUCCCAGACUCUGUAGAAUGGUGACCAUUUUUUGUAAAAAGAAAAGUACAAUCCCACCUGCAAUUUAGAGAAGAAUACUUAUGUCUGUCAAGGAGAAGUGCAUGCUUCUGUUCAGUGGAUUUCUCCUCAUUCAGACAAGUCCAGCUGCAUCCAGCAUUUAAGUGUUGAUGGAUCAUCUCCAAACAGAAUUCUUCCCUUCAGAGAAACCAGAAAAGUGAUGUGUCCAUUGGGAAAGACUUGGUCCCUCUGCACAGACAGGAGCUCAGCCUGGCUGCUCCUUUUUCUGAGAAGAACAGAAUAUAAAGCAAUAAAAAAAAUAUGGCUUCAUGGUAUUGUGCUU